rnacentral:rRNA from 1 species
AGAGUUUGAUCCUGGCUCAGGAUGAACGCUAGCGGCAGGCUUAACACAUGCAAGUCGAGGGGCAGCGCGGGGUAGCAAUACUCUGGCGGCGACCGGCGAAAGGGUGAGUAACGCGUGAGCAACAUGCCCGGUAUCGGGGGAUAGUCGAUGGAAACGUCGUGUAAUACCCCGUAACAACAGAGGCCGCAUGACCUUUGUUUAAGAGAUUUAUCGCUACCGGAUUGGCUCGCGUCCCAUUAGGCAGUUGGCGGGGUAAAGGCCCACCAAACCGACGAUGGGUAGCCGACCUGAGAGGGUGACCGGCCACAUUGGGACUGAGACACGGCCCAGACUCCUACGGGAGGCAGCAGUGGGGAAUAUUGGGCAAUGGGCGAAAGCCUGACCCAGCAACGCCGCGUGAGGGAAGAAGGUUUUCGGAUUGUAAACCUCUGUCCUUGAGGACGAAAGAGAUGACGGUACUCAAGGAGGAAGCCCCGGCUAACUACGUGCCAGCAGCCGCGGUAAUACGUAGGGGGCGAGCGUUGUCCGGAAUGACUGGGCGUAAAGGGCGUGUAGGCGGCGUACUAAGUCUGGAGUGAAAGUCCUGCUUUCAAGGGAGGAAUUGCUUUGGAUACUGGUAUGCUUGAGUACAGCAGAGGUAAGCGGAAUUCCCGGUGUAGCGGUGAAAUGCGUAGAGAUCGGGAGGAACACCAGUGGCGAAGGCGGCUUACUGGGCUGAUACUGACGCUGAGGCGCGAAAGCGUGGGGAGCGAACAGGAUUAGAUACCCUGGUAGUCCACGCUAUAAACGAUGAAUGCCAGGUGUAGGAGGUAUCGACCCCUUCUGUGCCGGAGUAAACACAAUAAGCAUUCCGCCUGGGGAGUACGGCCGCAAGGUUGAAACUCAAAGGAAUUGACGGGGGCCCGCACAAGCAGCGGAGCAUGUGGUUUAAUUCGACGCAACGCGAAGAACCUUACCAGGUCUUGACAUCGAAGUAAAGCUAUAGAGAUAUAGGGAGGAUUCGUCCAACUGAAGACAGGUGGUGCAUGGUUGUCGUCAGCUCGUGUCGUGAGAUGUUGGGUUAAGUCCCGCAACGAGCGCAACCCUUAUAGUCAGUUACUAACGAGUAAAGUUGAGGACUCUGACGAGACUGCCGGGGACAACUCGGAGGAAGGUGGGGACGACGUCAAAUCAUCAUGCCCCUUAUGACCUGGGCUACACACGUGCUACAAUGGUGGUUACAGAGAGUAGCGAACCCGAGAGGGGGAGCGGAUCUCAAAAAAGCCAUCUCAGUUCGGACUGUGGGCUGCAACCCGCCCACACGAAGUUGGAGUUGCUAGUAAUCGCGAAUCAGAAUGUCGCGGUGAGUACGUUCCCGGGCCUUGUACACACCGCCCGUCACACCAUGGGAGUUGGGAGCACCCGAAGCCGGUGAGUGAACCGCGAGGGCACAGCCGUCGAAGGUGAGACCGAUGACUGGGGUGAAGUCGUAACAAGGUA